rnacentral:rRNA from 1 species
UACAGAGGUCCCGAGCGUUGUUCGGAUUCACUGGGCGUAAAGGGUGCGUAGGUGGUGAGGUAAGUCGGAUGUGAAAUCUCCGGGCUCAACCCGGAAAUGGCAUUGGAAACUACCUUGCUAGAGGAUUUGAGGGGGGAUUGGAAUACUUGGUGUAGCAGUGAAAUGCGUAGAUAUCAAGUGGAACACCAGUGGCGAAGGCGGCGAUCUGGGAAGAUACUGACGCUGAGGUGCGAAAGCGUGGGGAGCAAACAGG